rfam:Populus trichocarpa scaffold_6_contig_56, whole genome shotgun sequence.
CUUUUUAGGUUUAAACGUCAACAUUUUGACGAGUCUACUAUUUUUAGAAAUUGAUGCCAUUUUUGACAUGUCUUUUAUUUUCAGGGAUC